CCGUUUCUAGAUUAGUCUGGGGACCCAGC
rnacentral:sRNA from 1 species